rnacentral:rRNA from 1 species
GAUGAACGCUGGCGGCGUGCCUAAUACAUGCAAGUCGAGCGAACAGACGAGGAGCUUGCUCCUUUGACGUUAGCGGCGGACGGGUGAGUAACACGUGGGUAAUCUACCUAUAAGACUGGGAUAACUUCGGGAAACCGGAGCUAAUACCGGAUAAUAUUUCGAACCGCAUGGUUCGAUAGUGAAAGAUGGCUUUGCUAUCACUUAUAGAUGGACCUGCGCCGUAUUAGCUAGUUGGUAAGGUAACGGCUUACCAAGGCAACGAUACGUAGCCGACCUGAGAGGGUGAUCGGCCACACUGGAACUGAGACACGGUCCAGACUCCUACGGGAGGCAGCAGUAGGGAAUCUUCCGCAAUGGGCGAAAGCCUGACGGAGCAACGCCGCGUGAGUGAUGAAGGUCUUCGGAUCGUAAAACUCUGUUAUUAGGGAAGAACAAACGUGUAAGUAACUGUGCACGUCUUGACGGUACCUAAUCAGAAAGCCACGGCUAACUACGUG